rnacentral:rRNA from 1 species
UACGGGGGGAGCAAGCGUUGUUCGGAUUUACUGGGCGUAAAGGGCGCGUAGGCGGGAUGGCAAGUCGGUCGUGAAAUCCCUCGGCUCAACCGAGGAACGUCGAUCGAUACUGCUGUUCUUGAGGAUUGCAGAGGAGACUGGAAUUCCCGGUGUAGCGGUGAAAUGUGUAGAGAUCGGGAGGAACACCGGUGGCGAAGGCGGGUCUCUGGGCAAUUCCUGACGCUGAGGCGCGAAAGCGUGGGGAGCAAACAGG